GCGUUGAUAGGAUAGUGGUAACCUGGGCCGUUGCCAUUCGUCGAGAAAUAAUUCUCGACCCACCGCGAGUUCGAUUCUCUUGCAAUGCA